GACGAACGCUGGCGGCGUGCUUAACACAUGCAAGUCGAGCGGAAAGGCCACUUCGGUGGUACUCGAGCGGCGAACGGGUGAGUAACACGUGAGUAAUCUGCCCCUAGCUUUGGGAUAGCCACCGGAAACGGUGAUUAAUACCGGAUACGACCACUUCUCGCAUGGGAUGGUGGUGGAAAGUUUUUUCGGCCAGGGAUGUGCUCGCGGCCUAUCAGCUUGAUGGUGAGGUAAUGGCUCACCAUGGCUUCGACGGGUAGCCGGCCCGAGAGGGUGACCGGUCACACUGGGACUGAGACACGGCCCAGACUCCUACGGGAGGCAGCAGUGGGGAAUAUUGGACAAUGGGCGGAAGCCUGAUCCAGCAACGCCGCGUGAGGGAUGACGGCCUUCGGGUUGUAAACCUCAUUCAGCAGGGACGAAGCGCAAGUGACGGUACCUGCAGAAGAAGCACCGGCCAACUACGUGCCAGCCGCCGCCGUAA
rnacentral:rRNA from 1 species